rnacentral:piRNA from 1 species
UAGAGCAGUGGUUCAGUCAAGCAG